GACGAACGCUGGCGGCGUGCCUAAUACAUGCAAGUCGAACGAACUCUGGUAUUGAUUGGUGCUUGCAUCAUGAUUUACAUUUGAGUGAGUGGCGAACUGGUGAGUAACACGUGGGAAACCUGCCCAGAAGCGGGGGAUAACACCUGGAAACAGAUGCUAAUACCGCAUAACAACUUGGACCGCAUGGUCCGAGUUUGAAAGAUGGCUUCGGCUAUCACUUUUGGAUGGUCCCGCGGCGUAUUAGCUAGAUGGUGGGGUAACGGCUCACCAUGGCAAUGAUACGUAGCCGACCUGAGAGGGUAAUCGGCCACAUCGGGACUGAGACACGGCCCAAACUCCUACGGGAGGCAGCAGUAGGGAAUCUUCCACAAUGGACGAAAGUCUGAUGGAGCAACGCCGCGUGAGUGAAGAAGGGUUUCGGCUCGUAAAACUCUGUUGUUAAAGAAGAACAUAUCUGAGAGUAACUGUUCAGGUAUUGACGGUAUUUAACCAGAAAGCCACGGCUAACUGCGUGCCAGCAGCCGCGGUAAUACGUAGGUGGCAAGCGUUGUCCGGAUUUAUUGGGCGUAAAGCGAGCGCAGGCGGUUUUUUAAGUCUGAUGUGAAAGCCUUCGGCUCAACCGAAGAAGUGCAUCGGAAACUGGGAAACUUGAGUGCAGAAGAGGACAGUGGAACUCCAUGUGUAGCGGUGAAAUGCGUAGAUAUAUGGAAGAACACCAGUGGCGAAGGCGGCUGUCUGGUCUGUAACUGACGCUGAGGCUCGAAAGUAUGGGUAGCAAACAGGAUUAGAUACCCUGGUAGUCCAUACCGUAAACGAUGAAUGCUAAGUGUUGGAGGGUUUCCGCCCUUCAGUGCUGCAGCUAACGCAUUAAGCAUUCCGCCUGGGGAGUACGGCCGCAAGGCUGAAACUCAAAGGAAUUGACGGGGGCCCGCACAAGCGGUGGAGCAUGUGGUUUAAUUCGAAGCUACGCGAAGAACCUUACCAGGUCUUGACAUACUAUGCAAAUCUAAGAGAUUAGACGUUCCCUUCGGGGACAUGGAUACAGGUGGUGCAUGGUUGUCGUCAGCUCGUGUCGUGAGAUGUUGGGUUAAGUCCCGCAACGAGCGCAACCCUUAUUAUCAGUUGCCAGCAUUAAGUUGGGCACUCUGGUGAGACUGCCGGUGACAAACCGGAGGAAGGUGGGGAUGACGUCAAAUCAUCAUGCCCCUUAUGACCUGGGCUACACACGUGCUACAAUGGAUGGUACAACGAGUUGCGAACUCGCGAGAGUAAGCUAAUCUCUUAAAGCCAUUCUCAGUUCGGAUUGUAGGCUGCAACUCGCCUACAUGAAGUCGGAAUCGCUAGUAAUCGCGGAUCAGCAUGCCGCGGUGAAUACGUUCCCGGGCCUUGUACACACCGCCCGUCACACCAUGAGAGUUUGUAACACCCAAAGUCGGUGGGGUAACCUUUUAGGAACCAGCCGCCUAAGGUGGGACAGAUGAUUAGGGUG
rnacentral:rRNA from 2 species